UGUUUUCAAGCAGGAGAGUCAGAGGGAUGAUGCAUCACACUAUCCCUUUCAUGCUCAGAAUACCAUCUCAUAUGUUUUGUUGUAGCAUCGGAUGCAUAAAAUCUUUGUAAAUGAGGAGCUAAAGGAAAAUAAUACAUCUUCUUAUAAGAAAUAUUAGUUUUCUUCUUGGAGCAUUGAUAUUUUGAUCUUUUAAAUCGAUGGUGAGAACCUCCUCCCGCCAAUAAAGCAUACAACUAUUUUUCCAACAAUCAAUCUUUUCAACCGGUAAUCUCAAUCCUCUCAUUAGCUUUUUGGUACUAUAAAAGCUAGCUAUCAUAAUGUUAUUAGUUCGCAUCAAUUCUGAUAUAAAUUCACACAACCCAUCAUACAAUCUUUUAAAAAAAUGAUGUUUCGCCUUUAGAUUUAACAUACGAACAACGACAGAUAAUUGUAUGUGUCCAUGUGGAUUUCUCAGCCAAAUUUCUUUUUUCGAUGCUUUGAGCAAAUUAUAAAUAUUUUGUGUUGUGGGAUUUGAAUCCUCUUUUAUGUUACCAUCAAAAGAAGGCCCAGCAACAUCAAAAACCAUAGCUCAAAAUUCAUUAUGAGACUGAGAAUUCACGGUUUCACCUGAAGCUGAAGCUUCUUCUUGAUGAUUAUCAAACACACUUGAACCUGGAAUAUAAUUUUCUCCAUGAUGAUGCCAAUGAUAGUAAUUCGGUAUAAAGCCAUUAUUUUCAAGAUAAGUAAUAACUGUAAACUCAUCCAAAAUAUUUUUAUUUUAACACUUACGAUGAUUACAAGGACAUCUUAAUUUUUCACUAUUCAUACAUUCUGGAUAACUUUUAGCAAAUUCAAUAAAGAUCUCAACCCCAUCAAUAAACCUAGGAUUUAUGAAUCCAUCUUCCAACAAUCUAUCAUACAUCCACUCACGGUCAGAAUUAUUCAUAUCAUGCACUCUGAAAUCGAAUAAAUAUGUUAAUUACGUAUUGACAAGUAACUUUCAUAUAACAGUAGAACAUAGAUAUAAAUUUGAGCCUACAAAUAAUGCUACCAUAGACCUUACCCCUGCCUUUCAUAUAGAUCCUUUGCUCAAGGAAAUCAAAACAACAACAUUCAUGGAGACAUAAGCAAUAACAACAAGAAGAUAGUAAGAAAAUCCAGGCAUAAGAGAUAACUAGUUAUAGAAAAUUAAGAUGAGAAAUAUAGAAAUAUUAUAAUAAAACACUGAAAAUAAUUAAUAUAUGUGAAGGUCAUAUUUGAUGAGUCCUAUAAAAUUCUGCUCUUUCUUAAAAUGAUACAAACUGAACUAGGAAGAAACAAAAUCAAAUCAUUUUAGAUCCUUUCAUACUAGAUAGAGCUUGAAAGAACGUCAAACUUCAAACAAAAAUGCCUAAAUCUCAACUUCUCCUUUCUCUUUUUUCACUUUUUGCAUAACUAGCAACAUAUAGCCGAUCCAACUAAUUAAGGUGCUUACUUUCAUUUUCUUGCUCCCCCCUUACCUAACAAGUUAUUUCAACUUCUUCCAUCCCAUGACUAAGCUCGUAGUUUAGGAUAUUGCAUUCAAGUAUUCCUUUCUGUCCUGCUUUAAUUGGAGUAUAAAGGUAUCUUUAUCUUAAGAUGGGAUAAACUAUAUUCUUCGAUCUUUUUUUCCUAUGAUAGUCAUGAUAAUGAAACUUGUCUUGAUGAAAUACUCAAGCCAAUUCUACAGUCAAGAGAAGGUUCCUCGGAUGGUAAGCACCCGUCACCAAGGGAGCUAAAGGUGUGGAAGCUCCUAGGCAGGGGUAAAAACAAAAAAAUUUGAAAAGUCAAUCCUACAAACUAGCCUAAACUUCCAGAUUGAGAUAUAUCAAUAUUUUGUAUUAACAAGAGAUAUACAUGCAACACACUUGUCUAGAUUUCCACUCAGAAUACUAUCAAAAGGACGAGAUUAUAACACUUGUACUUGUAUGUGAGUUUAUGUGAUAAAGCUUGUGUUGUGUUAUUGAUAUUUAUAAUGGUUUCUUGUUUGUGAAACUCCUCUAACGGAUUGAUGUGUCACAGGUGAGUCUGGAGGGCAAGUCAACUAGCUAAAAAUAAGAUUUGCCUCAAUUAUGAGAUAGCUUGUGG
rnacentral:lncRNA from 1 species